GACAGAGGUGCCAAGCGUUAGGCGGAAUCACUGGGCUUAAAGCGUGUGUAGGCGGAUUCCUAAGUACCUUGUGAAAUCCCACGGCUCAACCGUGGAACUGCUCGGUAUAUUGGGUAUCUUGAGCCACUUAGGGGCGACCGGAACAAAUGGUGGAGCGGUGAAAUGCGCAGAUAUCAUUUGGAACGCCAAUGGUGAAAACAGGUCGCUGGGAGUGUGCUGACGCUGAGACACGAAAGCCAGGGGAGCAAACGGG
rnacentral:rRNA from 1 species